AGAGUUUGAUCCUGGCUCAGAUUGAACGCUGGCGGCAUGCCUUACACAUGCAAGUCGAACGGCAGCACGGGCUUCGGCCUGGUGGCGAGUGGCGAACGGGUGAGUAAUGCGUCGGAACGCGCCGAGUAGUGGGGGAUAACGCAGCGAAAGCUGUGCUAAUACCGCAUACGUACUGAGGUAGAAAGUGGGGGACCUUCGGGCCUCACGCUAUUCGAGCGGCCGACGUCUGAUUAGCUAGUUGGUGGGGUAAAGGCUCACCAAGGCGACGAUCAGUAGCGGGUCUGAGAGGAUGAUCCGCCACACUGGGACUGAGACACGGCCCAGACUCCUACGGGAGGCAGCAGUGGGGAAUUUUGGACAAUGGGCGCAAGCCUGAUCCAGCCAUGCCGCGUGUCUGAAGAAGGCCUUCGGGUUGUAAAGGACUUUUGUCCGGGAGCAAAGCCUACUUGUUA
rnacentral:rRNA from 1 species